UACGGAGGAUGCAAGCGUUAUCCGGAAUUACUGGGCGUAAAGCGUGCGCAGGCGGUUAUGUAAGACAGACGUGAAAUCCCCGGGCUCAACCUGGGAACUGCGUUUGUGACUGCAUAGCUAGAGUACGGUAGAGGGGGGUGGAAUUCCGCGUGUAGCAGUGAAAUGCGUAGAUAUGCGGAGGAACACCGAUGGCGAAGGCAGCCCCCUGGACCUGUACUGACGCUCAUGCACGAAAGCAUGGGGAGCAAACAGG
rnacentral:rRNA from 1 species